rnacentral:rRNA from 1 species
GAUGAACGCUGGCGGCGUGCCUAAUACAUGCAAGUCGAGCGAAUGGAUUAAGAGCUUGCUCUUAUGAAGUUAGCGGCGGACGGGUGAGUAACACGUGGGUAACCUGCCCAUAAGACUGGGAUAACUCCGGGAAACCGGGGCUAAUACCGGAUAACAUUUUGAACCGCAUGGUUCGAAAUUGAAAGGCGGCUUCGGCUGUCACUUAUGGAUGGACCCGCGUCGCAUUAGCUAGUUGGUGAGGUAACGGCUCACCAAGGCAACGAUGCGUAGCCGACCUGAGAGGGUGAUCGGCCACCCUGGGACUGAGACACGGCCCAGACUCCUACGGGGGGUAGCAGUAGGGAAUCUGCCGCAAUGGACGAAAGUCUGACGGAGCAACGCCGCGGGAGUGAUGAAGGCUUUCGGGUCGUAAAACUCUGUUGUUAGGGAAGAACAAGUGCUAGUUGAAUAAGCUGGCACCUUGACGGUACCUAACCAGAAAGCCACGGCUAACUACGUGCCAGCCGCCGCGGUAA